rnacentral:sRNA from 1 species
AUGUAUCACCAGUUGGCCGACACAACAUUUGGAAUCUUCAGAGAAGCAACACUUGCCUCGCAGUCAGUCAUCAAAUAAGAAAAAAAUUAAAAUGGGAAAAGACGACAUGCAUAUGGAAAUUACUGAAAGGUGUGAUAGUGUGAGUGACUUUGUGUCACCAAUGUGGAAGAAAGGAAAAUCUCGCAAACAGCGAAGCAAGAAGAUGGCGGCGCCAGUUCGGCCUUUCUCUGUGAUAGGUUCGUCCAACCCCCAGGAACUCCAUGUAGAUCUGCCAAAGCGUCCAGAAACAUCUUUCUAUAAAAUUGAGACCAAUUUUUUGAUGACAUCCAAUGGGGAUGGGGAUGGCGAAGGCGUCUCAAUGCUUGAUUUCGUGGACGACGAAGGUCCCCUGUCUCCAACUGAACACCCAAGAUACUUGUCUGGGAGCCACCUCAGUCAGUUUUACGGCCUGAAGACCCACCAGAUCCACUCGCGGGUGCCACAUUGGAGGCGCCAUAUCGAGGCUCAGGUUAAACCCGUGAACGGGGAACAUUCCACCAUGAAAAUCGUGGAGACCACAGAAAAAUGGCUGUGCCUGUAUGAGGAGUUGUACAAAGCGACGAUCUGACGUCAGUCAUUACGUCAUCAUCAUCCGACUCAUUUGUGUUGAAAACACAGAAAAGUUAAAGAACACAGCUUCCGCUCCAUUCAUGGACUUUAUUUGGUUUCUGCUUCUUUUCCUGGCGUUGGCGCCGAACGUCCGAGCAGGUGGACAGAGAACAGACGAUCAUAUAGACAAACAAGAGCAGAAACAUCGUAGAUGACGGAAAAAUGAUCAAAAACUAUUCAUAUCGCUUCAUACGCAUUCCAUUUGCUUCAAAAGAAACUAUGGCGAAACAAUGAUCAAAAAUUAAUCACAACGCUUCGUGUGCAUUCAAUUUCUUCUAAAGGAAACGAUGACAAAAAUGAUCAGAGAAUUCUUCAUUUCGCUUCAUGUGCAUUCAGUUUGUUUCAAAAGAAUGAUUAAGACUAUUUUAAGUGCAAUGGAUUGAUUGUCAUUGAUUCUGGAGUGCUAUGAAAUCAGACUCUGUAAGUCACCAAAGCCUCAUAAUUUACUAACCAUUUAUUUGGUGUUUUUUUUUUUAUCUUUAGUCGAAUUAAAAACAUAUGCUAGUAUUACAC